UACGAAGGGUGCAAGCGUUACUCGGAAUUACUGGGCGUAAAGCGCGUGUAGGCGGCGUGACAAGUCGGGUGUGAAAGCCCUCAGCUCAACUGAGGAAGUGCGCCCGAAACUGUCGUGCUUGAGUGUCGGAGAGGGUAGCGGAAUUCCCCAAGUAGAGGUGAAAUUCGUAGAUAUGGGGAGGAACACCGGUGGCGAAGGCGGCUACCUGGACGACUACUGACGCUGAGACGCGAAAGCGUGGGGAGCAAACAGG
rnacentral:rRNA from 1 species